UACGGGGGGAGCAAGCGUUGUUCGGAUUUACUGGGCGUAAAGGGCGCGUAGGCGGCAAUUCAAGUCAGUUGUGAAAUCUCCGAGCUUAACUCGGAACGGUCAACUGAUACUGCUUUGCUAGAGUACAGAAGGGGCAAUCGGAAUUCUCGGUGUAGCGGUGAAAUGCGUAGAUAUCGAGAGGAACACCUGCGGCGAAGGCGGGUUGCUGGGCUGACACUGACGCUGAGGCGCGAAAGCUAGGGGAGCGAACAGG
rnacentral:rRNA from 1 species